rnacentral:lncRNA from 1 species
GCCGCCAAUCGGUCAGAGGUCUCUGACAGUUUCAUAUACCUUGUUCUCUUCUUUAGCUUCUCUUCCUCCUUGCGAGCUCCUCCUUUACCUCCUCCCAUUUCGUUUCUUUUGUCUCCUUUCUUUCGUCUCCUUCUAUUUUGGAUUUGACUUUAACUAGGGAGAUAUCGACUACGGUCAAACUCUGCACAUUUGACAUGGGGGCUUGUCAACCUCCUAGUAUUUGAUAGGUCUCAUGUUACCCAUCCCUAAUAUUGAACACACAGUGUAUUUAUCUACCAACUCACAAUAGGGUUGUGUUCUUCUCCCGUCUUGAUUCUCUCAUUUUUUAUGUGCGCUUUUUGGACUAUUAAACGGUGCGUCUUUUAUAAAAAUUUUAUAUAGAAAAAUUGCUUUAAAAAUUAUAUUAAUCUAUUUUAUAUUUUUUAUAAAUAAUAAUAAUUAAUUAAUCAUGUACAAAUCUAUAAUGUUUUCGACGUCGGUUAUAUAUCCAACCCCCUACGCAGGUCGGGGUGUCACCCCUCCUUAGGGCGUGUGCGACAGGUACCUAUCAAUCCUAGCUAUUCGACAGGCACCAUAUCAAAUUCCUAUUCUUAUUUUUGCAAUUUCUCAUGAAAAUAAUAUUAUUUAAAAAUUACACAGUGUGUUCUUGGCUAGAUCCAAUAAUCGUUGCGAAAAAAUAU